GCCUUCUGCACUCUCUCUUACGUUCUAUCCCACCACAGAGUUGUCCAGGUUUGUUCACUGAUAGUUCUCCUGUUCAUAAACAUCUUCUGGGGGUGACUGGAUCAUUUAGAGCUGCUGCUAAAUUGGUGUCGUGACAAGAGAUGUUGCGCUUGUUGUGAUGAGCUUUAAACUUCAGCUGCCAACGUGCCACGAUCAAAGAGUUCAUUGGAUCUGUUUUGGCUCUCAGGGUGUCAGCAGUGGCAUUUGUGCCCCAGUGUGCAGCUGUGAGGAGCUCCAUCUUCUCAGGGGAAGGGGAACAAGAUGCCUGUGGCAUUCCCAGGAUUUGUGAGCUCCCUCUCGCGGCCGCGUUACCGACUCCGGCCGGGUUCUGAUCGGCCCGAAUUGAUGUGACACCAAAGGGCAGUUUGUCAUCUCCGGAGCAGGAAUUGAUUUCAAUCUCCUCGGCAGCUACAUGAGUCACCCGAGCUGCUGCUGGAUCACCGUCACAGCCGGUGGGAGGUAGUUGUGCAGCCCGAGGGCACAGGGAGCUGGGCAGGAUCACUCCAUCCAUCCAUCCAUCCAUCGCUCCAUCCAUCCAUCCAUCCCCCCCAUCCAUCCAUCCAUCCCAGGCUGGGCUGGCAGCGCUGCCUGGGGUACCAGCACAGCUGUGCUGCUCCUCAGGGCAGCACAGGAGCCCUUCAAAACCCAUGAGGUGCCACUGCCCUGUGUGAUUCCCAGGCUGCUCCAG
rnacentral:lncRNA from 1 species